AUUGAACGCUGGCGGCAGGCCUAACACAUGCAAGUCGAGCGGAUGAAGGGAGCUUGCUCUCUGAUUUAGCGGCGGACGGGUGAGUAAUGCCUAGGAAUCUGCCUGGUAGUGGGGGAUAACGUUCCGAAAGGAACGCUAAUACCGCAUACGUCCUACGGGAGAAAGCGGGGGAUCUUCGGACCUCGCGCUAUCAGAUGAGCCUAGGUCGGAUUAGCUAGUUGGUGAGGUAAAGGCUCACCAAGGCGACGAUCCGUAACUGGUCUGAGAGGAUGGUCAGUCACACUGGAACUGAGACACGGUCCAGACUGCUACGGGAGGCAGCAGUGGGGAAUAUUGGACAAUGGGCGAAAGCCUGAUUCAGCCAUGCCGCGUGUGUGAAGAAGGUCUUCGGAUUGUAAAGCACUUUAAGUUGGGAGGAAGGGUUGUAGAUUAAUACUCUGCAAUUUUGACGUUACCGACAGAAUAAGCACCGGCUAACUUCGUGCCAGCAGCCGCCGUAACAC
rnacentral:rRNA from 1 species